CGCGGUAUGUUCACGCAAAUGUAUGCCUGGCGCUCCUCGUUUAAGGCCGUGACACGAAUCUCCGCAACUUUUAUCGUCGCUGCGAUCCGCGCACCGUAGGUGUGCAAUCGCCGAGCAGAAGCUGCGACGCGCGAGCGCGAGCGUUCGCGCGUGCGUUACACGUCCCACUGUGUCGCUGCAAUGUGCGCGUGUCGUCCAUUGAUGUUGUUUUGACAAAUGUGACGUAGACCGUGACGCGCCGUAACGAUGAGAUAAGCAGAUUCUCUGUGUGUGUGAAUAAAUAACGCUCGCGCGUCUCUGUGCGCGUGCGCGCGCUCCUAAUCUCGUCGGGUGGAUUUCUAAGCUGCGCACUUGAGAUUUUUCUAGCAAAAAGCGAGACGCGCUGAUGAGCGUGGAGUGGAGUACACGCUGUUUCCUCCGUGGACUUUGUCCGUGCAGCGAGUGGGCUCCCUCAGUCCAGCACUGCACGCACACCUGACGUACACGCAGCACCUGAGCCGUGUGUCCGGGUUCCAAACUGAAGGAAGCGGCGUGAGGGUAAAGUGCACCCGGGAUGACGAGGAGUCACCGUCUUCCUAAACGUCGUCCAGUUGUUUCUCUUUGCAGUUCUGACCCUGCAGCACAGCCCGCAUGUAACAUCGUGUGAUACAGCCGGGUGUGUGCAGGUGGUGGGCCCAAAGUUUGCGCUCAAACGCUCACUGCGUCCGUCUUUGAGCCAAAGUCACGCACUGAUGGAUGCAUCGGAGACCAACAUGGGGUUAGUAUCUUGCCCCAGGAUAUUUGGCAUGCAGACUGGGCUCAAACCACCAACCUUCCGGUCCCACUAGUACCGCCAAACAGCUCUGACCUGUCAGGACUCUCAACCUGGAGUUCUUUGGGACACGCGGGUUCUGGUGUGGGACUCUCACGAGUGCUCUAUUGACUACUGGAUACUGAGUGGGAGUGUUUCAGUGCAAGGUUAGCUCAUUGCACUUUGAGCAGCUUUUUGCAGUGUGGGGCGGUGCUCGUGGUCCAGGUGAGGCGAAGCAGGUGCUGCUGGAUUGUUGGUGUUGACGUCCAACCUUGUACUGUAAAACAACAACAACAACAUUAUUAAAACCAGUGAAUGGUUUUAAUAAUGUGGCUGAUCAGCAUUUGCUUUCCAGCCACAUUCAUAUGCCACAUGUCUCCUGUAAUACCUCUAAAUUGGCACAAACCCAUCCCACCCUUCGUGGAGUUAUGUCUGAACUCAAAUCAUCACCUGAACAUUAUUAUCCUCACCAAAAAUCGCUUGAACUCUGACAGCUAUUAUGUAUCAGGUGAAUUUUUGGCAAACAUCACAGAAAGAACAAGAGUGCUGGAUAUGGUAAAUAUCUACAGCCUCCCCACACAAAGCAAACAGUUCAUGCAGUAAUUUGUAUGAUAAUUUUUGUUUAAAUGUUGUGUGGCUGUUGUGUGGUUAACGAAGGGAAUGAAUCUGACAUGAAAAUGCUGAUUAAUUUCACAUCCAGAGAGAUUUACCAGCCAUUUACUGUAAUCACAGCACUGACACCCAUCAGUUGUUUACAAAAGGGGGUAUCCACAGUAAACAUGAAACUUCAGAGUGGGUUUUGUGGUGACACCACAUGAUUAAUAUGCAGCUCGGUGUCUAUAUUUGAAGCAGGCAAGCCAAAAUUCAGCCAGAUCCAUCAAAAUGGGGAUGGAAUGGGGGCAAGUUGGAGAGGUUAGCUAUUCAUAGUUGGGGUAGUGCAGUAGAAAUGGAUGCAUGUAGGUCAGAGCUGUCCUGCUGGGUGAAUGAUCACGUCACUGUUAGUUAAUGAUAACCACAUUCAUUAUUAAGUGUGCAAAUACAAGAUGGCAGCUGAACUAGAAGUUUGUGCUUUUCUAGUAAAGUCCCAUGCUUGCAUUUUAGCCUAACAGUUCUACUAUCAUAAGCUUUCUCAUUUGGAUAUGCAAAUUGGGACAAAAUCUAUCAAAAGAGCCAGAUGUGAACCUAUCCUCAACUGUAGACAUGGUUUGGAAAUGACUGGAUAUUGCUGACUGUCCCUCUUUCAGUCUACUGACUUAAAAUAGUUUGUAAUAAAGAAACAGCCAUGUAGAGGCCAGCAGGUCACUCGAGGCUGCUUACAUGGUGUUGUGCAAGGGAGAAACAACAGAAAACAGGAAACAUUGAUUAAAGAUCCAGAUGAGGCAGAAGAGCUCCACUCCAGGCUCUGUGGGUGUUUGAAAAGCAGCACCACAUGAGCCUCAUCGAAAGCUGGUUAGGGCAGAGAAGAUGAGGGGUCAGAGUUAGAGUUAAUCAUUAGGCUAGCUUUCAGGUGGUACCCAACCCCUAGCCCCCAACCCGAGCCCUAACCCUAUUUGUCCCAUCAAUGUCAAGCUUUGAGAAUAACUUGAGAAUCGUUACAUACUAUUCUUAUUACAAAGGGUUAUGAUCAUCAUCAGUGAUGACUUAAACCUCAGGGGAUUAUGGCAAAGUACAGACGAAAGAAGAAACAUUUCAAGGUUUAUGGUUAGAGGUAGUUAUAAAGGUUAAAGUGUGGGAAUACUUAAGUUACUGCUUGUACUGAUAUCUGUAUGUACCCAAGCGUUAUAAUACUGAUUUAUGAACUUAUCAGAAACUGUGACUUAAUCGUGUUUUUCUGACUCGCAUCUCGUUGAAGACCAAUGAGAAAUGACUCACAAGGACAAAAGUAAGGUGAAGCUAUUAGUCCCAUAAAACCAAUUUAAGAUUAUUCACCUUUGGUGAGGUUUUUGUUUUCACCACAUUUUGAGUCACAUUUUGAGUCACAUGUUCCGUCAACAGUCAACACACGACAGGCUUCUCUUAAACACUCAGCCCUAAUAAAGUGGGGUUAGUUUACUGUAUGGGGAACUUCGUAGCUACCAGAUUAAAAAAAACUUCUCAUUUUCUAUAGAAGGAACUGAAAACAAAUGAUGGCUGCUUCUCAAAUGUCAGGUGUCAUUUGUGUCAUAUGUCAUAGAUACUGAGCAUUGUAAAUUCUAAAUACCAAAUGUCACGGUUCUGGGUCAGUUUGACCCAGCAUUUUGAGUUGUUAUGGUUUGGGUUUUUUUUUCAAUGAUGGAUUGUUCUUUAUGUUUCUCUGGUGCUUUGUUGGGUUUUAUGAUGAAUCUGUGUUUCAGUUAUUUUGGUGUGUUUUUGCAUUAUGGAUUGUUUUCUUAUUCUCUUGUAGUGCUUGUGGUGGUGAUGAUGAUGAUAGAUAUUAUUAUUAGUUUCUUGUUUCUGUUUAUCCGUGUUUAAGGAUUUGUUGUUUCAUGUAUUGUUUGAGUUGCAUGUGUUAUAUUCUGUCUGCGUCUUUGUUUAGUGGGUUCUUGUUUCCUGUUUUAUUGUGAAGGUCUGUGUCUCAUGUGAGUGUGUUCAGUUCUACUGCUCCCCUGUCUCGUUAGUCCAAUUUCUCCCAGCUGUGUCUCCCUCCUGUUUCUCAUUCCCUGAUUACCUCCCUGUGUAUAUAAGCCCUGUGUGUUCCUGUGCUCUCUGUCGCGUCGUACCAUCAGGUCAUACCUGUGUGUUGCCGGUUCUCAGUGUUCGUUGUUCUGUUCAUGUUUUGUGCUUUGCCAGCAAUAAAGCUGUGGUUUUCUGUUGACAUUUGGCUUCACGAGUCCUGCUUUUGGAUCCUCACCUCCGCCUGCCGCACACAGAGCCCUGACACCAAAUGAGGCAGACAGAGGAAACCAACAAAAGAAAAGUGUAAACAGACCCUCAAGGGCCAAAAACCACUUGCACAGGGUUAACUGGAGGAGUAAUGUGGUAGAACUGUAUGUCAAGUGAACAUAACCAUCAAAUAGAAAAAAGGAAAUCUAUUUUUCCUUUUGAAUUUCUUCAAAACACAGGAUAAGAUGUAAGGUUAGACCAAACCCUAACCCUUUGGUGGGUGAGAAACCAACUGGUUAAAUUCACAGUUAGGAACUGUGUGUAGAAUAACUGAAGGCUGAUUUAAGGCCUAGCAACUAGC
ensembl:lncRNA